AUUGAAGAUGGCUGCCAAUGAAGUAGCAGGCCUCUCUGCUCAGGUAGAACGGCCAACACAACACCUACAGUACACACACACACCUGAAUACCUGUUAAGCUAUUUAGUGUUCGUGAUAGUAAACGUUAACACAGAUGGCUUCUAGAUGUGGGCAGGGACAGGCAGCAGGAUCCCAGCCCCAGAGAAGACGACAGGAGUGCUCAGACCUCCAGGACACAUACCUACUCCAUGGGGAGCCUAGCCCUCCUCUCAGUAACCUGUCUCUCCAUGCCUCCUGGUGGUCCGGCAGGGACGAGCACAGAGAGACUGGGCCCUCCCUUGGGAGCAACUGGUUGAGAGAAAUCAGCACGUUGCCAGACUACAGGAUUCACUGAGACGCGAGCGAGAGAAGGGUUCCAGCCUGCAGUCUCGGUGUAAACAGCAGGGGUCAGAGUUGAGGCGUCGAGAGCAGCACAGCGCCAGACUGAAGGAGAGACUAACCCAACUUGCAGAGAGACACAGAGAGAGAGGAGCCUCCAUGGAGCUGUUGAACCCGUUGCCCAGAGGUCAGGUGAAGAGGGACAGACCAGCCAAGACCAACGGAAGGAAGGAGGAGGCAGCGCUACGUGUGAUGCUGGAGCGGCGAGAGGCGGAGUUAGGUGAGGCCAUGAAGCUCCGACACAAUCUCACCACGCUACUGCACGCGCUCAGAGCAGACAUGGAACGGACCCUAUUGGACACUGUGGGUGACCAGGAAGAGGACAGAGACAACGCCAAGAUGCUGGUCCAGUCAGAGGAGUCCCUGGGCGACCAUGUGACAGGGGGUGUGGUCCAGGGAUGGAAGAGUGUGCAGAGGAGACUAGGGGACCUCCUGAGUCAGGGUCACGUGGCUGUGGGGACUGACCAGGAUAAGCUCUUGGCCCAGCUAGAGACAGAGUUGGAUCAGAGUCAACAGCUGGUCAAACUGCAGCCGCAUCUACUACAGCCGCUCUGACAGACUGCUACUUCCUGGAAGAGUGGGAGCGGCUUCAGAGCAUCUGGGCGGAGCUAGAACACCAGAAGCGGAGCUUCCAUAGGGAGAGACGGGCCUUCACCGAUGCCGCCAUCCGAUUGGGCCACGAGAGGCGUGAGUUUGAGCAGCAGAGGGCCUGUGUGGUGAAGCAGCAGUAUCUGUUUGACUCUCCGUUUGGGGAAAACGUUGCAGCGUCACAACAGGAGAGAGAGCACCAUCCUCAAUCUCUCAGAUUCUGAUCACAUGAUCCUGUCCGGCUGCCGCCAGGCCACGCCCUCCUCUGGGAUCAUGCCCUGGUUAGGGUCAUCGGGGUCUCUGCAGGUUCAUGGCAGGGUCAAAGUUUGCACCCCAGAGCUCUACUCUGCCCUCCAACUGCAGGUCCAGUGAGAGUGAUGCUCAGUCAGAGUGCUGGGAUGUGCUGGCAGAGAGGCUCCAGUUCGCCGCCACUGGUACUCGCCUGGACUGGUCAUUUCAGUAGGAUGGCUGUUUCUGUCGUUUCCAUUGUAUGUUUGUAUAAUAUUGUCUGUUUCAGUUGUUC
rnacentral:lncRNA from 1 species